UACGAAGGGGCUAGCGUUGCUCGGAAUCACUGGCGUAAGCGCACGUAGGCGGCUUUCUAAGUCAGGGGUGAAAUCCUGGAGCUCAACUCCAGAACUGCCUUUGAUACUGGAGAGCUCGAGUCCGGAAGAGGUGGAGUGGAACUCCGAGUGUAGAGGUGAAAUUCGUAGAUAUUCGGAAGAACACCAGUGGCGAAGGCGGCUCACUGGUCCGGUACUGACGCUGAUGUGCGAAAGCGUGGGGAGCAACAGG
rnacentral:rRNA from 1 species